rnacentral:rRNA from 1 species
GUCUACGGCCAUACCACCCUGAAGGCGCCCGAUCUCGUCUGAUCUCGGAAGCUAAGCAGGGUCGGUCCUGGUUAGUACUUGGAUGGCAGAAGCAUGUAAGCUCGCCUUUGUUC